AACGAACGCUGGCGGCAUGCCUAAUACAUGCAAGUCGAACGAGAUCUUCGGAUCUAGUGGCGCACGGGUGCGUAACGCGUGGGAAUCUGCCCUUGGGUUCGGAAUAACUUCUGGAAACGGAAGCUAAUACCGGAUGAUGACGUAAGUCCAAAGAUUUAUCGCCCAAGGAUGAGCCCGCGUAGGAUUAGGUAGUUGGUGAGGUAAAGGCUCACCAAGCCGACGAUCCUUAGCUGGUCUGAGAGGAUGAUCAGCCACACUGGGACUGAGACACGGCCCAGACUCCUACGGGAGGCAGCAGUAGGGAAUAUUGGACAAUGGGCGAAGGCCUGAUCCAGCAAUGCCGCGUGAGUGAUGAAGGCCUUAGGGUUGUAAAGCUCUUUUACCCGGGAUGAUAAUGACAGUACCGGGAGAAUAAGCUCCGGCUAACUCCGUG
rnacentral:rRNA from 1 species